rnacentral:rRNA from 1 species
AACAGCUCAAAUUUGAAAUCUGGCUCUUUCAGAGUCCGAGUUGUAAUUUGCAGAGGGCGCUUUGGCGUUGGCAGCGGUCCAAGUUCUUUGGAACAGGACGUCACAGAGGGUGAGAAUCCCGUACGUGGUCGCUAGCCUUCGCCGUGUAAAGCCCCUUCGACGAGUCGAGUUGUUUGGGAAUGCAGCUCUAAAUGGGAGGUAAAUUUCUUCUAAAGCUAAAUACUGGCCAGAGACCGAUAGCGCACAAGUAGAGUGAUCGAAAGAUGAAAAGCACUUUGGAAAGAGAGUCAAAUAGCACGUGAAAUUGUUGAAAGGGAAGCGCUUGCAGCCAGACUUGCCUGUAGUUGCUUAUCUGGACUUUUGUCCGGUGCACUCUUCUGCGGGCAGGCCAGCAUCAGUUUGGGCGGUUGGAUAAAGGUCUCUGUCAUGUACCUCCUUUCGGGGAGGCCUUAUAGGGGAGACGACAUGCAACCAGCCUGGACUGAGGUCCGCGCAUCUGCUAGGAUGCUGGCGUAAUGGCUGUAAGCGGCCCGUCUUGAAACACGGACCAAGGAGUCUAACAUCUAUGCGAGUGUUUGGGUGUCAGCCCAGACGCGUAAUGAAAGUGAACGGAGGUGGGAACCUUUUAGGUGCACCAUCGACCGAUCCUGAUGUCUUCGGAAGGAUUUGAGUAAGAGCAUGGCUGUUGGGACCCGAAAGAUGGUGAACUAUGCUUGAAUAGGGUGAAGCCAGAGGAAACUCUGGUGGAGGCUCGCAGCGGUUCUGACGUGCAAAUCGAUCGUCAAAUUUGGGCAUAGGGGCGAAAGACUAAUCGAACUAUCUAGUAGCUGGUUCCUGCCGAAGUUUCCCUCAGGAUAGCAGUAACGUAUUCAGUUUUAUGAGGUAAAGCGAAUGAUUAGAGGCCUGGGGGUUGAAACAACCUUCACCUAUUCUCAAACUUUAAAUAUGUAAGAAGUCCUUGUUACUUGAUUGAACGUGGACACUUGAAUGUACCGUUACUAGUGGGCCAUUUUUGGUAAGCAGAACUGGCGAUGCGGGAUGAACCGAACGCGGGGUUAAGGUGCCAGAAUAUACGCUCAUCAGACACCACAAAAGGUGUUAGUUCAUCUAGACAGCAGGACGGUGGCCAUGGAAGUCGGAAUCCGCUAAGGAGUGUGUAACAACUCACCUGCCGAAUGAACUAGCCCUGAAAAUGGAUGGCGCUCAAGCGUAUUACCCAUACCCCGCCGCC